rnacentral:rRNA from 1 species
GAAUAUUGGGCAAUGGAGGGAACUCUUACCCAGCGAUGCCGCGUGAAGGAAGAAGGUUUUCGGAUUGUAAACUUCUGUUAUAGGUGACGAAGAAUGACGGUAGCCUAUAAGGAAGCCCCGGCAAACUAUGUGCCAGCAGCCGCGGUAAUACAUAGGGGGCGAGCGUUGUCCGGAAUGACUGGGCGUAAAGGGAGUGUAGGCGGUUAUGCAAGUUACAUGUGAAAGCCCGAGGCUUAACCUCGGAACUGCAUGUAAAACUACAUAACUUGAGUGUGGGAGAGGAAAGUGGAAUUCCUAGUGUAGCGGUGGAAUGCGUAGAUAUUAGGAGGAACACCAGCGGCGAAGGCGGCUUUCUGGACCAUAACUGACGCUGAGGCUCGAAAGCGUGGGGAGCAAACA